rnacentral:rRNA from 1 species
GAGUGGACUCCUACGGGAGGCAGCAGUAGGGAAUAUUCCACAAUGAGCGAAAGCUUGAUGGAGCGACACAGCGUGCACGAUGAAGGCCCUCGGGUUGUAAAGUGCUGUUGCAAGGGAAGAACACUUAGUUGAGGAAAUGCAACUAAGCUGACGGUACCUUGUUAGAAAGCGAUGGCUAACUAUGUGCCAGCAGCCGCGGUAAUACAUAGGUCGCAAGCGUUAUCCGGAAUUAUUGGGCGUAAAGCGUUCGUAGGCUGUUUAUUAAGUCUGGAGUCAAAUCCCAGGGCUCAACCCUGGCUCGCUUUGGAUACUGGUAAACUAGAGUUGGAUAGAGGUAAGCGGAAUUCCAUGUGAAGCGGUGAAAUGCGUAGAUAUAUGGAAGAACACCAAAGGCGAAGGCAGCUUACUGGGUCUAUACUGACGCUGAGGGACGAAAGCGUGGGGAGCAAACAGGAUUAGAUACCCUUGUAGUCCUGAGU